AAUCCAUGGUGAGGACACUUCUGUAAGAGCUCUUUGUAUCUUUCCCAAGAUUCAUGAAGCGAGUCCAUAUCUUUCUGGAAAAAAUUUGUGAUGUCACUUCUCAUUUU